GACAGAGGGUGCAAACGUUGCUCGGAAUUACUGGGCGUAAAGCGCGUGUAGGCUGACCGGAAAGUCGGGCGUGAAAGCCCUGGGCUCAACCCAGGAACUGCACUCGAAACUCCCGGUCUAGAGUGGUGGAGAGGGAAGUGGAAUUCCUGGUGUAGAGGUGAAAUUCGUAGAUAUCAGGAGGAACACCAGUGGCGAAGGCGGCUACCUGGACAGGUACUGACGCUGAAGCGCGAAAGCUAGGGGAGCAAACAGG
rnacentral:rRNA from 1 species